rnacentral:rRNA from 1 species
GUCCACGCUGUAAACGAUGUCUGCUAGCCGUUGGAGUCCUUGAGGCUUCGGUGGCGCAGCUAACGCGAUAAGCAGACCGCCUGGGGAGUACGGCCGCAAGGUUAAAACUCAAAUGAAUUGACGGGGCCCGCACAAGCGGUGGAGCAUGUGGUUUAAUUCGAUGCAAAGCGAAGAACCUUACCAGGUCUUGACAUCCAGCGAACUGCCCAGAGAUGGGCGGGUGCCUUCGGGAGCGCUGAGACAGGUGCUGCAUGGCUGUCGU